CUGGCUCUGGGCUGCUUCCUGAGAUGAAGUGUUAUAUAGUUAGAGAGCUGCUUUGUCACUCAGUCCUAGGAAAUGUCAUGGUAGGCUGAUGGUGAUGGGGUGAGCAGCAUACAGCAAGUGGAAGGAGCCCAGGACAACUGACUUUCGGAUGCCCAGCCAUCUUAAAAGCCCUCAGAAUCCCACCAUAAGUGCUUUAAGAUCUGGAUUUUAAAAUUUGCCAUCUUUAUAGCUACAGCAGCAGCAAGAACUCUGGACUGAAAAAUUAUGGAAAAAAAAUGAUCCGCUGAUCUUUUGGUCAGAAACUCUUCAGCAAAUGAAAUGAACAGCAGAAGGGACUUUCCGAUGCAGUAGAAGCCUGUUAAACAGAUAACACUGGUGUAUGGAAGUGUCAUUUUCUUUAAAGCCUUGUAAUAGUAAUACAGAGAAACUGUGGCUUAAGGACAGAGGUGGCCUUUCUUGAACCUCAUACAUUCUUCUGAUCUUUGUUUGUGUACCCUGCUCUCCAGAGGUGUAUUCCAGAUAUUCAUACAAUGCCUCUUUUUAGAUGAACAGUAGCAACAAUCUGUCUUUUCCUGGAUACAUCAGUUCUCCUGUCAGAUUUACUUCUCUGUAUCUUUUAAGAGGUCUUUCUUUCCAAAAGUAUUUAAUGAUUUCAGUAAUUUAAUGAUUUCAUCACUGCUUGGCAUGAUACCAGGGAGGAAAUACCUUUGUUAAACAGUUUCAGUCUUCUAAUCUAUUCAGUUGUGUAUUGUAUUUGACUUUUUGAUCCCCUGAGCGUUUAGAGCUCUAAUAAGUUUAUGUCUUCAUCUUAUAUUUGUUUCUUAGGAAGACACCUGGAUUUUCAGAAGUAUAAUGCAUUAUUUACCUAUUCAUUUUCUUGAUCCUAUGGAAAGCAAAUCUGUUAACAAAGAUAUGUUCUUUAAACCUACUGUAAAUAUGGUUUCUCUUUAAUAAGGAGCAGCAGAGGAGAUAUUUGGAAAAGAACAGUGGUAGGGAUGUCACUGGAGCAUAAUACCAAGGACAGAAAGCACACUGCUACUCUGUUGCUCUUCUGGUUUAGGAGACUUAGCAUGUAACAUAGAUAUGGAAAGAUAUAAAUAGUACUCCUGAUGGUGGCACCUUUGCAGCUCUCUUAGGGAACAGUCACAAAGCAUUUGAAGCAGAGAGGAAGCCUUGCAUUUUCAGCUUCAUAAGGACAUGUACAACAGCUACCAAAAAGAAGAAUGAAACAAGUGACAAGCAUCAGCUGGCUUUAUUGCUGGCUUUUUUUUUUAAAUUAUUAUUAUUAUUUUAUUUAAUAAAAUUCUUGGCAUUGAGAGAAAAUUGGAAAGAGAAAGUAGCAAAAGCUGCCCAGGUAACUGAAAAAAAGCUUUGGAAAGCUUUGAAGUAGUAGUGGACAGAAGUAGACAAAUCAUUUUUUUUUUGCAUGGCAUUUCUACUUACAUUUUAUUGCAACAGCUACUAAGCAAAGUGCAAGAGGCUUUUUAUUGUCAUAUCAGAUAUACAUGGUAAAAUUUAAUGUAGGACUUGUCAGCUUUAAAUACUGGAAGUAUCAAUAAAAUGUCAAAUUAUACUUGACUUCAAUGCUACAUGGUGAUAAAAAUACAAUCCAAAUUUACAAUCAUUUAGUCUUCUCCCCCCUCACCCCCAUCCUUUCAUCUCAAUAAAGCUUAAUUAUAU
ensembl:lncRNA